ACAUUGCUUUCUUCUAUUUCUCGUUCUCCCCCUGCAACUCUUCGCAGCUCCGGCUGCUUCAGUGAAGGCCUUGGAUUUCUGUCAGUAGUGACCAGCAGCAAUAAUAGUAGUAACAGAUGGGAACGGAGGAGACCAACUCAGCGCAGCAACAACCUGCUAACGAGGAGGCACCAGAAGAUGUGGAGGCGUUGCUUGAGGCUGCUAGAUACGACGACAUUGAUGACAUCAUAAGUUUAUCAUCUGCUGGUGUUCCUCUUAAUUCUAAGGAUUCUCAAGGCCGAACAGCACUACAUAUGGCUGCUGCUAAUGGACAUCUUGACAUUGUGCAGUACCUUAUCAGAAAUGGGGUGGAUCUCAAUGCAUCCAAUUUGGAGAAGAAUACCCCUCUUCAUUGGGCUUGCCUCAAUGGGCAUAUUGAGGUGGUCAAGAGUUUGAUUCUGGCAGGAGCAGACGUGACUACUUUAAAUAGUUACGAGAGGACACCGAUGGAUGAAGCAGUUAGCAGGGGGAAGAUGGACAUAAUUGAUGCAAUCAAUACAGCAGUUGCUCAAGUUGAACUUAAUGGUGUUACAGUUUCAUAGUUAUCCUGUACCCUUCCUAUCAUAUCCUACUCAUUAGCAAUUGUUGGGAAUAUCUUAGAAAGAGUCCUAGACAUUGCUAACUCUUAUAUUUGACUUUUGAGCUAUUACAAGGCCAGAAAAGGUACUUUGUGGGUUCUCUUCUCAAUUUUAGUGCAAUUUUAAGACACCUUGCAUAAGGGCAUGGUGAAUGAAUCAAAAUUCUCAUGGAUAUCAUGAAAUAGAUCGAGCCUGUGUUAAACUUAUUGCCGUCUUUCAUUUGUUAAAAGAUACGAGGUCGGAGGUUCAGCGGGGUUUGAAAUAGUUAGACUGGCCUGUGAAUAAAACUUUUGAGUUCGGCUCUUUCCAUCAA